CAGCAGCCGCGGUAAUACGAAGGGUGCAAGCGGUACUCGGAAUUACUGGGCGUAAAGCGUGCGUAGGUGGUGGUUUAAGUCCGUUGUGAAAGCCCUGGGCUCAACCUGGGAAUUGCAGUGGAUACUGGGUCACUAGAGUGUGGUAGAGGAUAGUGGAAUUUCCGGUGUAGCAGUGAAAUGCGUAGAGAUCGGAAGGAACAUCUGUGGCGAAGGCGACUAUCUGGGCCAACACUGACACUGAGGCACGAAAGCGUGGGGAGCAAACAGGAUUAGAUACCCCUGUAGUCCCUGUCUCUUAUAC
rnacentral:rRNA from 1 species